rnacentral:rRNA from 1 species
GGGGAAUAUUGCGCAAUGGAGGAAACUCUGACGCAGCAACGCCGCGUGAAGGAAGAAGGCCUUCGGGUUGUAAACUUCUUUGAUCGGGGACGAAAAUGACGGUACCCGAGGAACAAGCCACGGCUAACUACGUGCCAGCAGCCGCGGUAAUACGUAGGUGGCAAGCGUUGUCCGGAAUUACUGGGUGUAAAGGGCGUGUAGGCGGGGGAGCAAGUCAGAUGUGAAAGCCCAUGGCUUAACUGUGGAACUGCAUCUGAAACUGUUCUUCUUGAGUGCUGGAGAGGAAAGUGGAAUUCCUAGUGUAGCGGUGAAAUGCGUAGAGAUUAGGAGGAACACCAGUGGCGAAGGCGGCUUUCUGGACAGUAACUGACGCUGAGGCGCGAAAGCGUGGGGAGCAAAC